rnacentral:rRNA from 1 species
GUUAGGAAUUUUGGGCAAUGGGCGCAAGCCUGACCCAGCAACGCCGCGUGGGCGACGAAGCCCUUCGGGGUGUAAAGCCCUUUUCCAGGGGACGAUAAUGACGGUACCCUGGGAAUAAGCCCCGGCUAACUACGUGCCAGCAGCCGCGGUAAUACGUAGGGGGCGAGCGUUGUCCGGAAUCAUUGGGCGUAAAGCGCGCGCAGGCGGUUGGCAGAGCCCGGCGUGAAAGCCCCCAGCUCAACUGGGGGAGGCCGUCGGAGACCUGUCGACUUGAGGCCGGUAGGGGAGAGCGGAAUUCCCGGUGUAGUGGUGGAAUGCGUAGAUAUCGGGAGGAACACCAGUGGCGAAGGCGGCUCUCUGGACCGGUUCUGACGCUCAGGCGCGAAAGCGUGGGGAGCGAUCCGGAUUAGAAACCCGAGUAGUCC